rnacentral:lncRNA from 1 species
CCUAUUGAAGCCAUGGUGUUGGCGUCUCCCCCUCUUCUUCUUCUUCUUCUUCUUCUUCUUCUUCUUCUUCUCUCUCUCUCUGGGUUCUGUUUCCUGACUUCUUCUGUUCCUGGGUUAUGGGUAGAGGCAUGUAUUUGGUAUUUACACGUUUGAAGGUGUUUUAUUCCAGUGUGGCACCGAAAUUUAUAUAUAAUGGUGGGUCGCAGAUUCUUUGCCGCGAAUUUCUUUAUCCUUGAUGAGCUGUGGAUCCAACUUGGAUCAUAUUAGAAUCUUAACCGUUUAUAUAGUAACGCACUUUGAGAA